GCCUUAUUUCGGAGUCUGCCGCCUCACUGCAUGUCCCUCAGCUCUCAGCGCAGAAGCGAGAACGUUGUCAGGACUGGUCAAGUGUUUCGUGGCGUCCAUAAAGACACGACAAAGUGGGGCAUGUCUCAGGAGGGCGAACAAUGAGCUGGAAGUGGAGGAACGUGUGUGUGAGGGGGGAAAAUUCUUCAGCCAUAAAUAACAGGUUCGUCUUGAGUGCGCCGUUGGGUUUUCUGUGGAAGGAGGACAGGACCCCCGCAAAAGGCCCCGUCAUACUGUCCGCCGGCUGCCAGGCCUUCAGAAUCUCCUGCGUCUGGGCGGCGGGCUGAGCCACGGCCGGGUUGGUCGGCCCCAGGCCGGACCAGCUGGGCGCCUUGAGCCCCUGCAGGACCGGCGAGCCGGAGGCGUAGCCGCUGUUGGUCGGCGCCGGGCUGGGGCUCAGGCUGGAGGGGCUGCCCAGGUUGCCGUUGGCCGAGCCGGGCAGGGAGGCCGUACUGUCGGGCGUGGGGCUGCAGGUGGAUUCUUUGGACUCGUCGUCUGAUGACGAUCUGGCCUCGCCGUUCUUUUUCCCCGCAGAGCCGCCUCCGCCGGAGGUGUUGUUGUUGUUGUUGUUGCCGCCUGCGCCGGCGGAACUGUUGGCUUUGGCGUUGGCGGCUCGCUCUUGCUUCCGGAACUUGGCACGCCUGUUCUGAAACCACACCUGGUACCCCCACAGACACACACACAUUGUUAGUUAUCCUCCAGAAAACCAGUGUCCUCUACAGUGGACAUAUUUUUUUUUCCAAAACAAAGGAACUUCCACUGCAGCUAACGGCCUCUGACCUGUACUCUGGCUUCUGUCAGGUCGAUCUUGAGAGCCAGCUCCUCCCGGGUAUAAAUGUCCGGGUAGUGCGUCUCCGCAAAGACCCGCUCCAGCUCCUUCAGCUGGGAGCUGGUAAACGUGGUCCUGAUGCGCCUCUGCUUUCGUUUCUCGUUCAGGCCCGAAGGGUCCGAGAAGAACUUAUAAGGAACUGUGAGAAUGCAAACAAAAAGAAGACCUUUAACACACUUUUGUCACAUUUUAAUUUGAAAUGACUAAUUAUUCAUGCUUUAUCAAGUAAAUAUUGUAAUAUAAUCCCAUGUUUAUCAAACUUUUUAAAAUAUUCUAAUGUAAUAUUUGGUGUAAUAUUAUUUUCAAAUACAUUUUCUAAUUGUUUUAAUAAAGACAUGAUAUAUGUGUGUGUGUGUGUGUGUAUAUAUAUAU